UACAGAGGUCUCAACCGUUGUUCGGAUUCAUUGGGCGUAAAGGGUGCGUAGGCGGUCGUGCAAGUCGGAUGUGAAAUCUCAGGGCUCAACCCUGAAACUGCAUUCGAUACUGCGCGGCUAGAGUGCUGGAGGGGAGACUGGAAUUUACGGUGUAGCAGUGAAAUGCGUAGAUACCGUAAGGAAGACCAGUGGCGAAGGCGAGUCUCUGGACAGAAACUGACGCUGAGACACGAAAGCCAGGGGAGCAAACGGG
rnacentral:rRNA from 1 species